rnacentral:rRNA from 2 species
GAGAUGAGUUCUCCCUGAGACUUUAAGUCUCCUGAAGGAACGUUAAAGACGAUGACGUUGAUAGGCCGGGUGUGUAAGCGCAGCGAUGCGUUGAGCUAACCGGUACUAAUGAACCGUGAGGCUUAACCUUACAACGCCGAAG